UUCUUGCAUAUCCCCAAAGCGGAGGAAAAGAAACCAACAGGGAUUGCCUCAGUAACGGCGAGUGAAGCGGCAACAGCUCAAAUUUGAAAUCUGGCCUCUUGGGGUCCGAGUUGUAAUUUGUAGAGGAUGUUUCGGGUACCGCCUCGGUUUAAAUUUCUUGGAACAGAAUGUCAAAGAGGGUGAGAAUCCCGUCUUGGACCGGCGGUAGGGCCUAUGUGAAACUCCUUCGACGAGUCGAGUUGUUUGGGAAUGCAGCUCAAAAUGGGUGGUAAAUUUCAUCUAAAGCUAAAUAUUGGCCAGAGACCGAUAGCGCACAAGUAGAGUGAUCGAAAGAUGAAAAGCACUUUGAAAAGAGAGUUAAACAGUAUGUGAAAUUGUUGAAAGGGAAGCGCUUGCAACCAGACUUGAGCGCGGCGGUUCCCCCUUGCUUCUGCUUGGGUUACUCCGCCGUGUCCAGGCCAACAUCGGUUCUGGGGGUCGGUCAAAGGCUCUGGGAAUGUAUCUACCCACGGGUAGACUUAUAGACCAGGGUGUCAUGCGACCUCCCGGGACCGAGGAACGCGCUUCGGCUCGGAUGUUGGCGUAAUGGUUGUCAGCGACCCGUCUUGAACCCACGGACCAUA
rnacentral:rRNA from 1 species